rnacentral:rRNA from 1 species
UACGUAGGGCGCGAGCGUUGUCCGGAUUUAUUGGGCGUAAAGAGCUCGUAGGCGGCUUGUCGCGUCGUCUGUGAAAUCCCGAGGCUCAACCUCGGGCUUGCAGUGGGUACGGGCAGACUAGAGUGCGGUAGGGGAGACUGGAAUUCCUGGUGUAGCGGUGAAAUGCGCAGAUAUCAGGAGGAACACCGGUGGCGAAGGCGGGUCUCUGGGCCGAUACUGACGCUGAGGAGCGAAAGCGUGGGGAGCAAACAGG